CCAGGAGCCAGGGCAGUUCAGUAUCCAGCGUCUCUUUGAGGACUGGGUGUCGAAGAGUUUCCUUGAGGUGUCUGUCAACUGAAGAAAACUGCACAAGCUAAAAGUUUUCCUGAAUCUUUCCUGACUUCAUGAAGGAAUAUGCAAUGACUGAGAUGAACACUGAUGAAGUAGCCAGGACAAGAUGAAAGAGGCUGACUGUAUUCAUGGCUCACUGGGAGUUGGAUGGUGCAGGCUCUGGAAGAUCACCAACUAAGGUUGCUGAGCCUGGGAAGUCAGGAUGUGUCCUUGCAGUUCUCUGUGUUUCCAGAAGACACUAGAAUAUGGCCAGCAACCAGGUGGAAUGAGCUUAGGUUCCUGAUUAGAGGAAAGCUGCCUGUCAACCUGCAUCACUCUCAUUGGACCCUCGUCGUUAUGAGGAAAUUCAUCAAGGUUUUUAAAAACCACCACAGACUAUUCUGAAAUAACUUGAGAAGAAAAAUGCUAACCAGUCAACUAUGACGGCAAAAACACAUACAGAUUUAAAAUACCUUGAUGGGACUGUGAAUGGAGCAUGAUUGAAUUCAUAAGCAUGCCUUUUAGAGAAAACUGGGUUCCCUCUACUGUCGUGACACCACCUUUCAUCAAGCGACGAUGACGGAACUUCUCAUGUUGAAUUUGGCACGACAGCAGCGUGGCAGUAAUGGGAGCACAGCCCCUCCUUGCACUGCUUUCGGCAUCCAGGGAGUCACCAGGUGAGAAGAGGAAUUGUGGCCUGAGCAAUCAGAGUGAUGCAGGGAGCCAGCAUUAACGAGAAGAUGAAUGACUGUCUUUCUGUAAGUCAAACUUGCCCUGUUGGUUGAAGUGUGUUUGCUCCACUCUCCAGCUCUCUGGUGACCUUGUUCACAUUCUGCCAACAAUCUGCUCAUUCCAUCUCCAGUCUGAGGCUUAUAUGGAUUCUGAUGUGACCAGCACAGAGGCUCCUCCACAUACUCUCUCCUG